UACAGAGGGGGCAAGCGUUGUUCGGAAUUACUGGGCGUAAGGGCGCGUAGGCGCCUUCUAAGUCGAACGUGAAAUCCCUGGGCUCAACCCAGGAACUGCGUCCGAUACUGGAAGGCUUGAAUCCGGGAGAGGGAUGCGGAAUUCCAGGUGUAGCGGUGAAAUGCGUAGAUAUCUGGAGGAACACCGGUGGCGAAGGCGGCAUCCUGGACCGGCAUUGACGCUGAGGCGCGAAAGCCAGG
rnacentral:rRNA from 1 species